CUUGAUCAUGGUUCUCUUUGUACGAUAGUUGGGCAUCUGUAUUUCCACUUGUGUGAAUUUGCCUUUAAAUUUUGGUUAUGGGUUUCACCUUUUAAAAUAAUCAAACAUAUUUAUCUUUUCCUGUGUGAUAGGUUUUUUUCUGUAUCUUUUCCUGUUAAACACACAGACCCCUCCCCAAUCUGGACAUUGAAUAAAUAUUCAUUUUCCUUUGCAUUGUUUGGGGUUUGGUUU
rnacentral:lncRNA from 1 species